rnacentral:rRNA from 2 species
GGUAGUGACAAGAAAUAACAAUACAGGGCCUAACGGUCUUGUAAUUGGAAUGAGUGAAGUAUAAACCCCUUUACGAGUAUCAAUUGGAGGGCAAGUCUGGUGCCAGCAGCCGCGGUAAUUCCAGCUCCAAUAGCGUAUAUUAAAGUUGUUGCAGUUAAAAAGCUCGUAGUUGGAUUUCUGUUGUAUUUUUAUAAUAUUACUAAGGUAACAUUAUAAUAACAACAUCCUUCCCAAUAUAUUUUUUAAUAUAUGGGAAAUUUUACUUUGAGAAAAUUAGAGUGCUUAAAGCAGGCAACUGCCUUGAAUACUCCAGCAUGGAAUAAUAAGUAAGGACUUUUGUCUUUCUUGUUGGUUCUAGGAUA